UACGUAGGGUCCGAGCGUUGUCCGGAAUUAUUGGGCGUAAAGAGCUCGUAGGCGGUUUGUCGCGUCUGCUGUGAAAUCCCGAGGCUCAACCUCGGGUCUGCAGUGGGUACGGGCAGACUGGAGUGCGGUAGGGGAGAAUGGAAUUCCUGGUGUAGCGGUGAAAUGCGCAGAUAUCAGGAGGAACACCGAUGGCGAAGGCAGUUCUCUGGGCCGUAACUGACGCUGAGGAGCGAAAGCGUGGGGAGCGAACAGG
rnacentral:rRNA from 1 species